AUGGAUUACAGUGAAUUGCUAACCCCUGCACCAGUGGGGAAGGGUGGCUUAUAUAGAGUGCGCUGCCCUUCACAAUGGUUCGGUGCACAGGGGUGGAGUGGUGGCGAAUAAAUGCCUACGUUACAGGUAACGUAUGUCUUAAAUGCUAAUAAAGGUACAUGGAAACGUAUGACCGUUGCCCUCCAGGGGGGUUACGAUGUACAUAGUGGAAUCCAGUCGGUAAGUUUGAUACGCUCUGAAUGCUCAUUUCCGACUGGAUGAUGGAGGAAUCGUCACCGACUGGAUGAUGGGAAGUCCUUAAUUCAGUCGGAACUGACUAAGGGCCUUAUCCCUUAUGAAG
rnacentral:lncRNA from 1 species